UAAAGGGGGAACAAUCACGAUUGGUUCCUAAUGAUUCUUUAUAAUUUCUCCACCAUCUCCUAUGAAACCAUCUAAUGCAAAAUAGCAUCUUCCAUGUUUUUCCUUUUUAUGGUAGAUUGAAGUUUAUGGGUAUUUUUUUUAGCAAUUGAUAAGCAUGGCAUUUACACCUGCAAUUUUUUCAUAGUGCAGUUCGUAGCCAAACAUUCAUAUCAAGGUAACCAAUUCAGUAUUAUUAGGUUACCAAUUUAUUUGAACGUGAUGCAGUUGGUAGCCAAACUUUCAUGCAAUGGGUAUCCAAACCUUCAUACCUAGGUAACCAUUUUAGUUUUAUUAAGUUACCAAUUUAUUUUGAAUGAGAUGCAGUUGGUAGCCAAACCUUCAUGUAGUUGGUUGCCAAAUUUUCAGACCAAGGUAAGUAGAUUGGUUACCUUGAUAUAAAUAUUUAGUUACCUUGGUAUAAAAGUUUGGUUACCUUUUUAAGAAGGUUUGGUUAUCAACAUUACAUUACACAUCAGUCUCUCAUCUUUAUCUUUUCUAUGCAGUCACCGGCGAAAGAGAGGAGGAAGAUGAUGUGAAAUUAAUAUCUAUGCAAUGAUAGCAAUAGAGACUAUUAGAGAGAGAAUUUAAGAAGAUUUCUUCAAAAUAUUUGUAUAUAGAGUUCAGUACAUUCAGGAGAUAUUUUCCCUCGCACAAAAAUGUCAAGGAUUUCUUAUAUUUUGAUAACUAAGUUCUGAGAGAGCAUAAUUAUCUCAAUCAUCAUAAUUUCUCGUCCAAAUGGGUGCUGAAGUCGUGUAUUUUGCACACUGGACGGGUGAGGGAUCCUGUGUUCUGGUUGUAUCAUGCUGCUAUGUCUUGAAUAACGCGCACUCACAGUAUUAUAUGCAAUGUUCAUAAGGGAUAAAAGCCUGUAAGCAGCUUUUUUAUAAAUUUUCUUAUGUUCCUUUUACUCCCAAUUUUGUUUUGGUUAUAUGUUGGCGGUUAUUGGAUGAAGGAUUUGAGCAUUGGAUCUCUGUCUUUUCUUAUGUCACUUUGAAUAUAGUAGACAGUUAAUUAAAUACUUUUUGAAUUUGAAUUUGUUUUUGUUGUUAGAUCCAAAUAUUUGAAUUUGAAUUAGUAAUUAUGGCAGUUAGUUGUCCUUGAUUUUAGAUUUCAAAUUGUACUAUUUUUGUAAUAUGGGUCCUAAUUACACUCUUUUUAUAAUUAUUUAGUAGAUGUACUUUUCUUGUAAUUACUUUCUAUUUGUUGUAUACUUAUGUAAAUGACCCAAAAAAAAAUACUGGUGGGCCAUAAUACUUUUCGUAUUGGGCCAGGCCGAAUGGGCUCCUCCCUUUGACCGAUAUAUUUUACCUUUUGGACCGAAUAGAUUGGGCCGAGUUAUUUGAUUAUUCUAUUGGGUCAUUUCGGUUGGAUCCGGUCAGAUGGGUCAUCUUUAGUAUUGGGUUUAGUCAUUGGAUCGGUCCAUUAUGCAAAUUGUCUCUUAUCAUAUAUUUGACCGGUAAUCAUGACAAAAGAUAACAGUUGACUGUUAUCUCUGCCACCGUCUGCAUGGCAUUAAUGAGAAUGUGACUGUAAUAGCCGGCGGUGGACAAAGGUGAUGGAGUAGUAGGUGAAUCAUCGGACGUGGGAGAGGGCUGUGUCAGGGAUAGUGGGUGUCACGGUAAACCAGGUUUUGGAGUGCAUAUGGGGCAAGGAUCACACAAGGGAAAGGUAAGAAAAAGAACAACAAAUCACUUAACCAAACCAUUAUUCUCUCUCAAGCACUAGACAUAUUAUUUUCCUCCAUUGUUAACCUUGUGAUCGCCGAUACUGACUCUCACGCCGGAGCUAUCCCCCGACGGUCAAGCCGUCAAGCUUUUGGUGUUGACUUGUUGAACUGUGCAGGAUAUAGGACAAGUCUUGGUGAUUGGGACGAGAGGAAAGAUCUUGGCGUUAACAAAUACCUUCUCCCUAAAAAAGAAUUCAUUAUUCUUUGGUACUUUAAUUUAUCAAAAGUCGCACAACAAAUGUUUAUACAUUGCUAUCAAAGAAGCUCGUAGGUGUUGUGCCCGAAUUUCUUUUUAAAAAAUUAGGAAAUUUUUUUGUGAGAAAUAAUUAAUAAUUUUUUGUUUGUCGUUGCUAGGACUGAUCAUUCGGUUAUAACCGAACCGAAUAGGCUAUUCGGUUAUAACCGAAUACCGAAAUAUUCAUAUUUUCAAUAUCCGAACUAAUAAUCGAAUUUUGGUAAUAACCGAAUUAUCGAAUUGUAAAUUCGGUAUUUCGGGUAAUAACCGAUUCUGGGUUGGGAUACAAACAAUUAAUUAGAUACAGAAGGAUAUUUCUACACCAAAACUUUAACAAAGAAAGAGCAAUUGCUUCUAGGCACAAAUGAUGACCGAAAAUUAGAAGCAUGUAUGAAUACAAUCAAGAUGUAGGAAUACAAUCACACCUCCAAGCUCCAGCUUCGUACCCACACGGCCACACCAUCUUGAUUCUUGCCGUCGUAACCAAAUCUAAACCCUCCCCAAAUUUUCGAUGGCGAUUGGUGUCUGGUGAUACCUUGAAUGUUCUCCUUCAAUACCUUUGGGAUGAGAGGCGGAUAGGCUGAGAAAGUGAGAAGUGAGAGGCGGAGGCCAGAAAUUUGGGAUUUGGGAUGAGACUUGAGAGAGGCGGAGAGGCAGGAGACUAAGAGUGAGAUGAGAAUUUGGGAAAUGAAAAUUGAAAAGGGUUAGUGCAGUCUGGCGUCUGCUAUUCCUAUUUCCAAGGAAGAGAAUUAUAAUGUAGGAAGACUU
rnacentral:lncRNA from 1 species